GAUUUACCCAGACGUUGCCUUCUCUCAAUCGAUCUCAUCGUCUUCUCCUCUCCUCUUGUCACUAAUUCGUAUAAUAUCCAUCAAAUUUGCUGCAAACCCAGUGAGGAUUCGGCGGAGACGAAGACCCAAAGCGGAAUAAGUCUACCCCUCUUAUCCUUUCUCUCAAGUUUACAAAAUUUGAGGAAAAAUCCAAACUCGUUUCGCCGAAGAAUCGACGGAGCCCAAAGUUCGAUAUCUCCGCACUUCUCCUCUCAAUACCCAAAUUGGUCGACAGAACCCAGUGCUCAUUGUUUUAAUUUUUAGCUCUAUGGAUUUUGGUUUGGGAUUGUUAUUAUGAGUGAUUAUUUUGUUGUGUUUCAGAAUUUCAGAGAGAUCCGCUUUGGAUUUUUCAAGAGACGCUUUCUGAGCAGCUUCCCAGUAGCGAAAUGGCACCGGUCUGGAUUAUGGAGUCCGGUUUGCUGUCUUAAUAGGAGGCAAAUAAAGUGUUUGAGAAAAAGCAGAAGACCACAACAGUUAUCCAAGUAAACCUCUAGGUUCUGGAAGGAAGACCACAACAGUCGGUACAGAAGACCACAACAGUUCUCCAAGUAAACCUCUAGGUUCUGGAAGGAAGACUACAACAGUCGGUACUCCAAGUAGAGGUGGAGCUUCUGUAAAGAAAACACCUUUGUUAGGAUGAUUUGUGAUAUCGGAGAGACCAAAGAAUUUGACGCAGCUUAAUCUGAUUUCUCAUCAACCAAUUGUAGUCUUUCAACUUUUGUAUGCAACUGUGUGUAUUAUAAUGUCAUGAUUUACUCAUUUAGUAUUUACCCAAACCUAUCGAUACACCUUAUGGUAAUGUUAUUUCAAGAAGUAUAAGAUUGUCCCCUUUCUAAUCUUGUUUUCAUUUUGAUAUGUACCAGUUAUACAUUAGCAGGCUGCAGCCAUAGCUUGCCAUGUUUCUACGUCAUAAACAAGUAACCUAUACAUAAGCAGGCAUAGUUGCCUUGUUUGUACGUCAUAAACAAGCAACUUAUACUUACAGUUAAGGAUCCCUUGUCUCUAACACUACUUCUUCAAUGAAACUGUCAUCACCA